rnacentral:lncRNA from 1 species
AGGAUACUUUUUUUUAAUUUAUCUCAAUGUUGAGAGCUUUAAUCACACCCAAUGUUUUACAUAUUUCUCUGAGGAGCAGCAUAGCCAACAACCUGUGGGUGAGGCUGGUGACUGUGAUGCUGACCAGAUGUACAACAGAGAACAAGCAGAGACUUGGAGACGAGGUGUUGAAGAUCUGCCGCUCCCUCUACAACAGCGGACAGAUGCUGCCUGUGCAGGGUGUGAAGGAGCUGUGCCUGCUGCUGCUGCACCAGUCCCUCCUGCUCCCAUCCCUGAAGCUUCUUCUGGAGAGUGGAGAUGAAACUCUACAGGCCAUGGCCCUGGAGCAAAUCUCAGCUGUCACUAAGGUGAAUGACUCUAAUUGUGACCAGGAGCUGCUUUCCCUGCUCGUGGAUGCCAGGCUGCUGGUGAAAUGUGUCUCCACACCCUUCUACCCACAUAUCAUUGCUCACCUUGUGGCCAACAACCAGCAGGGGCGCUGGAACGCAGAGGAGCUGGCUAGACACCUGCAGGAGGCCGGACAUGAAGCUGAAGCUGGCUCACUCCUCCUGGCUGUCCAGGGGACUCAUCGGGUGUUCAGAACUUUCAGCACUGCCCUCAGUGCACUGAGGCAGUGGGUGUGAGCACAGCCACCCAUGACCUUGCUCCUGGCAGGAGAGAGCAUCAGACCCCAAAGCCAUGCCCGAAGCAGCAUUUGUAGCAAUUAAUUGUUCUCAGCAUUUCUAAUAAGUCAUGAAUAAAGGUAUAUGUAUAUAUAUA